rnacentral:rRNA from 1 species
GAUGAACGCUGGCGGCGUGCCUAAUACAUGCAAGUCGAGCGAACAGACGAGGAGCUUGCUCCUCUGACGUUAGCGGCGGACGGGUGAGUAACACGUGGAUAACCUACCUAUAAGACUGGGAUAACUUCGGGAAACCGGAGCUAAUACCGGAUAAUAUAUUGAACCGCAUGGUUCAAUAGUGAAAGACGGUUUUGCUGUCACUUAUAGAUGGAUCCGCGCCGCAUUAGCUAGUUGGUAAGGUAACGGCUUACCAAGGCAACGAUGCGUAGCCGACCUGAGAGGGUGAACGGCCACACUGGAACUGAGACACGGUCCAGACUCCUACGGGAGGCAGCAGUAGGGAAUCUUCCGCAAGGGGCGAAAGCCUGACGGAGCAACGCCGCGGGAGUGAUGAAGGUCUUCGGAUCGUAAAACUCUGUUAUUAGGGAAGAACAAAUGUGUAAGUAACUAUGCACGUCUUGACGGUACCUAAUCAGAAAGCCACGGCUAACUACGUG